ensembl:snRNA U6 U6 spliceosomal RNA
GUGCUUGCUCCGGCAACAUAGAUACUAAAUUUAAAACAAUACAGAGAAGAUUAGCAUGGCCCCUGUGCAAGGAUGACAUGCAAAUUCGUGACACAUUCCAUAAUUUU